rnacentral:lncRNA from 1 species
CACACUUUACCUCAUUGAAUUUGAGAUCGGCCUGGGAUGCUGAUUCAACGUUCUAUCUUUACUUAAUCUGCGCACGGAAACAAACCGUACGCUGAGUAUGGAAUACUCAGUGGUAUUUCCAUAAUCCGAACACUUAAUAAUAUAACAAUUAAACUUAAAAUCACAAUAACAAUUAUAAGCAUUUAUUUAUUUAUUUUAUAGAUAAAUUUCAUUUACUUACCAUAAAAAUUCUAUACAAGUCAUAUAACAAACACAAUAACAUAUCUGUUCAAUUCUUUUCAUUUACUUACCGUAUAAUUUCUAUACAAUAUAUUCACAAUUCAUUUGUAUUCACACUUUACUUCUUAACAAUAUACCAUUUAAUUCAUUCUAACAUCAAUUAUCAUCCAUUUGAACUUCACUCAUUUCAUGAACCUUUUGGUUCAUGUUUUCAAUCUCAUAUCUCAAUUUCAAUUCUCAAUUCAAUUUCUCAUUUCAUUCCAAUAGCUCAGUCAAUCAAAUUCACUCGAUUUAUCUUUUCACUUAUUUACCCCUAUUAACAAGACUCGGACUCUGAUAGAUACGCGGAUUCCUCCCAAACACACCAGAAUAUCCAACCCAAACACACCCGGAAUAUUAUAAAUCCUCCAUAACACACCAGUAUAUCAUAUCCUCCCAAACACACCAAUAAGGCAUUAAAUGCCUCUUCGGAUAAACCGAAGUAUAUAAUAACAGAAACAUUUUCUCGGCCGAACUACAAAUCUCCUCAUCAUAUCACAAACCCAAUGACAUGCCAUUUGUAUCCAAUCUGGUCCGAUACUGUUAAUAGGAUAUUUGAUUCACUUUCUCAAUUUAAUAAAUCUUUCAUCAAUAUACCAUUCUAAUAAUCACAUAUAUUCACACAUUUUCACAAUUUCAUACAUUUUCAUUCAAUUCAACAAAUAUAUUUCAAUUAUUCACAUUAAUUCAUAAUCCAAUACAACUCAAUUCACUUUUCAAUAUCAAACAUUCAAUUAUCACAAAUCUCAUAUAUUCAUAUCAAUUCCCUCAUAUUUCCAAUCAAUAUAAUUUUUUAAUAUAACAUUCAUUCAAUAUUCAAAUUUUUACAUAGAUCAUAUAUAUAUUAUAAUUUCAAUCAAUAUAAAUUCAAUCAAAAUGAUUUCAAUCAAUAUAAAUUUGAUAAAUUCAUCACAUACCAAAAUCAAUCCAUUUCAAUUGUAAAACAUCAUAAUUCUAACACUAACAAUUGUCAUAUGUAUAUAAAUAUAACAAAUAAUGACUGAGUUCGGAUCAUAGAAAUACAAACCGUAUUUUUCGAGCUUUUCGAAGCUUUUCCUCGUCGACUUUGCUAUUUCCUUACUUAGCCGAAACUUCUCGAGACAACGUUAGCUACGGAAAUUAAAACAAUUCAUAUUCAUUAAUUCACUACUAAUUUAUAUCUAAUUAAUUGAAUUUUCUAUUCAAUUUUCUACUUUAAUUUCAAUUUAAUCUUAACUAAUUUUCACUUACGUUUCUAAUUCAAUUCACAUUCUAUUUCUAUUCAAUUUUCAUCCAUACUCUCAUUUAAAUAUUAAAUUUCCAGCAUAUUUUCCUAAUUUCAAAAUUUCAUCAAUUUAGUCCCUAUAACAUAAAACUUAUAACUUACUUUACAAUUUGAUCCUAUUAUCAAUUCUAGCUUGAAAUUCACUCAAUUAAACCCUUAAUUCACUAUUUUAUUCAACAUGAACUAUACUUGAAAAUCUAUAAACUCUCAAAAUAUCAACUUAAUUUUAAUAAAACCUUGUUUUAAAGCUUCUAAAACAUCAAAUUUAAGAGGAAAUGACUUAAUUGACUUACCAAAUUAAACUUCAAGCUUCAAACCUUAAAUUUUCCCUUUUUUUAUUUCUUUUCUUUC